CCAAGCUUGAAUUAGACGACACAUUUCUCCACGGGAAGGGCUCAGGAGUUCUGGGAUGCCUGAAUUCUCUCCUGCUUGCAGACGUGCAGAAUGCUCGGGGAGUCUCUGUUGCCCAUCCCCCAAAUCUGAAGGUAUCCAGGGAAGGCCGUGGCCACUCUUG